rnacentral:tRNA from 1 species
GUAUGCCCGAGUGGUCUAAGGGGGUGGACUUAAGAUCCACUAGACGAAAGUCUGCAUGGGUUCGAACCCCAUUG